rnacentral:lncRNA from 1 species
CCUAAAUUGCCCAUAUCUCAGUGAGUAUGUUGAACUCCGUGUUCGCAAUUCAUCCAUUUCGGCUGGCCCUGAGUGUGGCUGUGUAAAAAAAUUUGACGAAUACCAUAGCCGAGGACAUCAAGUUUAUACGGCGGAUUGCCAGAGGAUACUUAAGCCGGGCUGUCAAAGUUUCCCUUGUUACGGUGGCUAAAGUUUUCUAAUAAAGCAAUUUUUGUGUGGAGGAGAAGAAUAUGCAGACGAUGCGAAAAUAAGAAAAACUACCUCAGAUCAAAUAAUUGUAACAAGCCCGCACAUAAUAAACAGACAAAGUACUCUUCAU